rnacentral:rRNA from 1 species
GGUGAACGUUGGCGGUGCGCCUAAUACAUGCAAGUCGAGCGAGAAAGUCCAAACCCGCAAGGGGGAGGGCGAGUACAGCGGCGAACUGGUGAGUAACACGUGAUCAACCUACCUCUCCGACAGGGACAACCUUUGGAAACAAAGGCUAAUACCUGAUGGCGUUGCUUGCCCACAAGGGCGAGCAAAUAAAGGGGCGUUUGCUCCGCGGGGAGAUGGGGUUGCGGCCCAUCAGCUAGUUGGUAGGGUAACGGCCUACCAAGGCGAUGACGGGUAGGGGGCCUGAGAGGGCGAACCCCCACAUGGGGACUGAGAUACGGCCCUGACUCCUACGGGAGGCAGCAGUAGGGAAUCUUCCGCAAUGGACGAAAGUCUGACGGAGCAACGCCGCGUGAACGAAGAAGGCCUUCGGGUCGUAAAGUUCUGUUGUUAGGGAAGAACAAGUACCAGAGUAACUGCUGGUACCUUGACGGUACCUAACCAGAAAGCCACGGCUAACUACGUGCCAGCCGCCGCGGUAAAAC